rnacentral:rRNA from 1 species
GAUGAACGCUGGCGGCGUGCCUAAUACAUGCAAGUCGAGCGAACGGAUUAAGAGCUUGCUCUUAUGAAGUUAGCGGCGGACGGGUGAGUAACACGUGGGUAACCUGCCCAUAAGACUGGGAUAACUCCGGGAAACCGGGCUAAUACCGGAUAACAUUUUGAACCGCAUGGUUCGAAAUUGAAAGGCGGCUUCGGCUGUCACUUAUGGAUGGACCCGCGUCGCAUUAGCUAGUUGGUGAGGUAACGGCUCACCAAGGCAACGAUGCGUAGCCGACCUGAGAGGGUGAUCGGCCACACAGAGACUGAGACACGGCCCAGACUCCUACGGGAGGCAGCAGUAGGGAAUCUUCCGCAAUGGACGAAAGUCUGACGGAGCAACGCCGCGUGAGUGAUGAAGGCUUUCGGGUCGUAAAACUCUGUUGUUAGGGAAGAACAAGUGCUAGUUGAAUAAGCUGGCACCUUGACGGUACCUAACCAGAAAGCCACGGCUAACUACGUGCCAGCAGCCGCAGUAA